rnacentral:rRNA from 1 species
UUAAAGGUACCCGUACCGCAAACCGACACAGGUGGGUGAGGAGAGUAUCCUAAGGCCCGCGAGAGAACUGUUGUUAAGGAACUCGGCAAAAUGACCCCGUAACUUAGGGAUAAGGGGUGCCACCAUCCGGUGGCCGCAGAGAAUAGGCCCAAGCGACUGUUUACCAAAAACAUAGGUUUCUGCUAAGUCGCAAGACGAUGUAUAGGAGCUGACGCCUGCCCGGUGCUGGAAGGUUAAGGGGAUCUGUUAGGGCAAUCGAAGCAGUGAACUUAAGCCCCAGUAAACGGCGGCCGUAACUAUAACGGUCCUAAGGUAGCGAAAUUCCUUGUCGGGUAAGUUCCGACCCGCACGAAAGGCGUAACGAUUUGGGCACUGUCUCAACAACAGACUCGGUGAAA